ensembl:misc_RNA Y_RNA Y RNA
GGCUGGUCUGAGCACAGUGGUGUAUACAACUAAUCGAUCACAACCAGUUACAGAUUCCUUUGCUCCUUUUUCACUACCACUGCUUCACUCGACUAGCCUUUA